rnacentral:rRNA from 1 species
AGAGUUUGAUUCUGGCUCAGAUUGAACGCUGGCGGCAUGCCUUACACAUGCAAGUCGAACGGCAGCGCGGACUUCGGUCUGGCGGCGAGUGGCGAACGGGUGAGUAAUACAUCGGAACGUGCCCUGUUGUGGGGGAUAACUAGUCGAAAGAUUAGCUAAUACCGCAUACGACCUGAGGGUGAAAGCGGGGGACCGUAAGGCCUCGCGCAAUAGGAGCGGCCGAUGUCUGAUUAGCUAGUUGGUGGGGUAAAGGCCUACCAAGGCGACGAUCAGUAGCUGGUCUGAGAGGACGAUCAGCCACACUGGGACUGAGACACGGCCCAGACUCCUACGGGAGGCAGCAGUGGGGAAUUUUGGACAAUGGGGGCAACCCUGAUCCAGCAAUGCCGCGUGUGUGAAGAAGGCCUUCGGGUUGUAAAGCACUUUUGUCCGGAAAGAAAUUGCGCUGGUUAAUACCCGGCGUAGAUGACGGUACCGGAAGAAUAAGCACCGGCUAACUACGUGCCAGCAGCCGCGGUAAUACGUAGGGUGCGAGCGUUAAUCGGAAUUACUGGGCGUAAAGCGUGCGCAGGCGGUUUUGUAAGACAGGCGUGAAAUCCCCGGGCUCAACCUGGGAAUUGCGCUUGUGACUGCAAGGCUAGAGUGCGUCAGAGGGGGGUAGAAUUCCACGUGUAGCAGUGAAAUGCG